CGCAACGCUUAACGUUGCGCGUGCAGUGGGUACGGGCUGACUAGAGUGCAGUAGGGGAGUCUGGAAUUCCUGGUGUAGCGGUGAAAUGCGCAGAUAUCAGGAGGAACACCGGUGGCGAAGGCGGGACUCUGGGCUGUAACUGACACUGAGGAGCGAAAGCAUGGGGAGCGAACAGGAUUAGAUACCCUGGUAGUCCAUGCCGUAAACGUUGGGCACUAGGUGUGGGGGACAUUCCACGUUCUCCGCGCCGUAGCUAACGCAUUAAGUGCCCCGCCUGGGGAGUACGGUCGCAAGGCUAAAACUCAAAGGAAUUGACGGGGGCCCGCACAAGCGGCGGAGCAUGCGGAUUAAUUCGAUGCAACGCGAAGAACCUUACCAAGGCUUGACAUACACCAGACCGUCCUGGAAACAGGUCCUCCUCUUUGAGGUUGGUGUACAGGUGGUGCAUGGUUGUCGUCAGCUCGUGUCGUGAGAUGUUGGGUUAAGUCCCGCAACGAGCGCAACCCUCGUUCUAUGUUGCCAGCACGUGAUGGUGGGAACUCAUAGGAGACUGCCGGGGUCAACUCGGAGGAAGGUGGGGAUGACGUCAAAUCAUCAUGCCCUUUAUGUCUUGGGCUUCACGCAUGCUACAAUGGCUGGUACAGAGAGAUGCGAGACCGCGAGGUUUUAGCGAAUCCCUUAAAGCCAGUCUCAGUUCGGAUCGUAGUCUGCAAUUCGACUACGUGAAGUCGGAGUCGCUAGUAAUCGCAGAUCAGCAACGCUGCGGUGAAUACGUUCCCGGGCCUUGUACACACCGCCCGUCAAGUCACGAAAGUCGGUAACACCCGAAGCCGGUGGCC
rnacentral:rRNA from 1 species